GCGGACGUGGUGCGUGGUGCACCGCUGCAUUUCAUUGGUGAUGGCCCUCAGGGUUGAGCAGCUGCUGGGGUUCGACUCCCCGCGUCUGCU